rnacentral:lncRNA from 1 species
UACAUUUUUUUACUUUACUGUCGCGCCUCCUUUCUCACCUUCUGCCGCAGCAGCCAUUCUUGUUAUGAUGCGCUCUUCUUUUCGUCAUUUUCAAAUCCUGUGACACACCUGUCGCCAUUGCCAUCCAUUGCUACACUUUCUGUGAUAGCUCCAUCUUCGCAGUCUGUGUUAUAGUCGAACCUGCGUGGUAGCUAUCUAUGUCGAUGGAGGUGUGGGCGAGGUAAGAGAGAAGCGCAAUGUCAACGUAGAGGCGGUAGAGGAAGAGGAGAAGUAAGAGGAAGUAAGAGGAGAAAAAAAAAAAGAAUCGACAAGUAGGAAAAUAAAGAGGGUAAAGAAAAACGAACGAGCGAGAGGAAUAAGUGUAUUUUAGUUAGUUUACUAAAUAUAUCCGAAAUUAAUAUGUAAAAUGUUAAAAAGUGG